UUCCCAAAGUCGUCUUCGUCUCAUUUUGGCCUAACCCUAAUGUGUCUCUCUUCACGAGCUGACCACCCAAACCCAAUAGGCAUCUUUCGAAAACCUUCAAUGAAGCCAAAGUUGAGGCAUAUCUUCAUAUUUCUUUAUCAAAGGUGAAUUUUUUUUAAGGUUUCUGGAAACCAAAAUGGAGCUUCUUCUUGCUUUGGAUUAAUAAAUCACAGAUGAGUUUUCCAUUUAAGGAUUCGUUUGGUUGUUGAUAAAAUAUUGGGGUCGAAGGUCUUAUAUUUUGGGGUUUGUUGUAUUUUGAUUCAUUUUUGCAUAAAUGAAAUAGAGGGAAAUUUUGUUUUGGUUAAAGAAUUUUUCAGAUGGAGUUAAAUCAAGUUCAUCCUAGCAAUAGAAGCAAAGUUUUUCAAUAAUCAAUGGCCCUAGCCUGUGGUAAUGCCUAAACUACCAAUUUAGCUUUCUAUCACUUUGAACAAUUUAAUCUAUGUUUUACUAUAUCUUCUUUCAAUAAGCCUAUUUUUCACAUAAUAGUCCAACUGAUAGAAGUUGGAAUAAUUUCAGACUUGUUUCCUUAAGAAAGAGAAGUCAUCUAAUCUCCUAUGAAAUUGUGUUCUUCUUCGAUGGCUUGUUAGGUUUCUCUAGGGAAAAGGG
rnacentral:lncRNA from 1 species